GCCCCCGUAGCUCAGGGGAUAGAGCAGAGCUUUCCUAAAGCUAAGGUCGCAGGUUCGAAUCCUGCCGGGGGUA
rnacentral:tRNA from 1 species